AUUGAACGCUGGCGGCAGGCCUAACACAUGCAAGUCGAGCGAGCGGCGGACGGGUGAGUCAUGUCUGGGAAACUGCCUGAUGGAGGGGGAUAACUACUGGAAACGGUAGCUAAUACCGCAUACCAUCAGAUGUGCCCAGAUGGGCUUAGCUAGUAGGUGGGGUAACGGCUCACCUAGGCGACGAUCCCUAGCUGGUCUGAGAGGAUGACCAGCCACACGGAAACUGAGACACGUUACAGACUCCUACGGAGGGCAGCAGUGGGGAAGAUUGAACAAUGGGCGCAAGCCUGAGGCAGCCAUGCCGCGUGUGUGAAGAAGGCCUUCGGGUUGUAAAGCACUUUCAGCGGGGAGGCGUUACCCGCAGAAGAAGCACCGGCUAACUCCGUGCCAGCAGCCGCGGUAAUUC
rnacentral:rRNA from 1 species